rnacentral:lncRNA from 1 species
GGCAAGUUCAUGAAACCUGGAAAGUGGUGCUGUUCUGGCCAGACGCUAUGCCAGAUGCUACUCAGGAAGCAAAGAUAUCAUCAUGAAGAACACUGAUGAUGGCACCUCAGAUCGCCCUUACAGCCAUGCUCUGGUGGCUGGAUUUGACCACUAUCCCCACAAACUGACAGCUGUUGUGGGCAAGAAGAAGAUGAAGAAGAGUCAAAGAUCAAGUCUUUGUGAAAGUUUAUAACUACUAUCACCUCAUGCCCAUAAGGUGCUCCGUGGAUAUCCCCUUGGAGAAAACUCUCAUCAACAAGGAUGUCUUCAGAGAGGCUGCUCUUAAAUGCAAGGUUACUGAGAGGCCAGGGUCAAGUUCAAAGAGAGGUACAAGACAGUCAAGAACAAGUGGUUCUUCCAGAAGCUGUGGUUUUAG